UGUGUUGUCGAGGUUCCUGAAGGAAAUGGUUCAGGAGUAAUUUGGGAUGAACAAGGACAUAUAGUUACAAACUAUCAUGUUGUUGGCAACGCUCUUUCAAGAAAUCCUUCCCCUGGUCAAGUUGUU